UACGUAGGGGGCAAGCGUUGUCCGGAAUCAUUGGGCGUAAAGAGCGUGUAGGCGGCUUGGUAAGUCCGCUGUGAAAGUCCAGGGCUCAACCCUGGAAUGCCGGUGGAAACUGUCAAGCUUGAGUCCGGAAGAGGCGAGUGGAAUCCUGGUGUAGCGGUGAAAUGCGCAGAUAUCAGGAGGAACACCAAUGGCGAAGGCAGCUCGCUGGGACGGUAACUGACGCUGGAGACGCGAAAGCGUGGGGAGCAAACAGG
rnacentral:rRNA from 1 species